ACAGCAGCCGCCGCGGGAAAACGUAGGGUGCGAGUGUUAAUCGGAAUUACUGGGCGUAAAGCGUGUGCAGGCGGUUCGUUAAGACAGAUGUGAAAUCCCCGGGCUUAACCUGGGAACUGCAUUUGUGACUGGCGAGCUAGAGUAUGGCAGAGGGGGGUAGAAUUCCACGUGUAGCAGUGAAAUGCGUAGAGAUGUGGAGGAAUACCGAUGGCGAAGGCAGCCCCCUGGGCCAAUACUGACGCUCAUGCACGAAAGCGUGGGGAGCAAACAGGAUUAGAUACCCCGGUAGUCCCUGUCUCUUAUAC
rnacentral:rRNA from 1 species